GAUGAACGCUGGCGGCGUGCCUAAUACAUGCAAGUCGAGCGAACAGACGAGGAGCUUGCUCCUCUGACGUUAGCGGCGGACGGGUGAGUAACACGUGGAUAACCUACCUAUAAGACUGGGAUAACUUCGGGAAACCGGAGCUAAUACCGGAUAAUAUAUUGAACCGCAUGGUUCAAUAGUGAAAGACGGUUUUGCUGUCACUUAUAGAUGGAUCCGCGCCGCAUUAGCUAGUUGGUAAGGUAACGGCUUACCAAGGCAACGAUGCGUAGCCGACCUGAGAGGGUGAUCGCCCACACUGGAACUGAGACACGGUCCAGACUCCUACGGGAGGCAGCAGUAGGGAAUCUUCCGCAAUGGGCGAAAGCCUGACGGAGCAACGCCGCGUGAGUGAUGAAGGUCUUCGGAUCGUAAAACUCUGUUAUUGGGGAAGAACAAAUGUGUAAGUAACUAUGCACGUCUUGACGGUACCUAAUCAGAAAGCCACGGCUAACUACGUG
rnacentral:rRNA from 1 species